GCCUGGGUGGCUCAGUCGGUUGGGCGUCUGACUUCAGCUCAGGUCAUGAUCUUGCGAUUCGUGAGUUCGAGCCCCGCGUCGGGCU
rnacentral:tRNA from 1 species